rnacentral:rRNA from 1 species
AGUGAACGCUGGCGGUAGGCCUAACACAUGCAAGUCGAACGGCAGCACAGUAAGAGCUUGCUAUUACGGGUGGCGAGUGGCGGACGGGUGAGGAAUACAGCGUAAGCUACUUUUUCGGGGGGGAUAACGUAGGGAGACUUACGCUAAUACCGCAUACGACCUACGGGUGAAAGCAGGGGAUCUUCGGACCUUUCGCGAUUGAAUGAGCCGAUGUCGGAUUAGCUAGUUGGCGGGUGAAAGGCCCACCAAGGGGACAAUCCUUAGCUGGUCUGACAGGAUGGCCACCACAACGGGAAUUGGGCCCCGCCCAAGCCCCUUCCGGGAGGCACAAGUGGGGAAUAUUGGCAAAUGGGGGAAAGCCUGACCCAGCCAUCCCGGGUGGGUGAAGAAGGCCUCCGGGUUGUAAACCCUUUUUGUUGGGAAAGACAAGCAGCAGGUUAAUAACCCGCUGUUCUGACGGUACCCACAGAAUAAGCACCGGCUAACUUCGUG